ACUUAGAAUAUGCUAUGUUG
rnacentral:snRNA from 1 species